rnacentral:snoRNA from 13 species
GCAUGGCUGAAUACUGUGUUCCUUCAUCAGUAGUCUACACAGCCAGACACCAUGCAAAAGUAAAGUCUUCCUUUAGAAAUUAUUUUGAUAUGCCGAGUUUUUCCUUAGCAUAUCAUCAUUGAAAGUGAAUACACGU